GGCCGCCAGGGGGCGCUGCGGGCCCUGGCAGAGCGGGGCGGGCGCACCUGCCGUCGGCGGGCGGGCAGCGCCGCUCCUCAGCCCCGUCAGCCCCGCGCCUCUCCCCUCAGCCCGCCGGCAUGGAGGCGUAGCGGGGAGCCGCCGGCAGGUAAGCCCUCGCCCCGCGGCUUUCCGCUCGGAAGCUCGCCUCGGGAGGAGGAGGGGGGAUCAAAAAGAACUUGGGACGGGGCUCGGGGGGCUCCGUGCCCCCCGGGGGUGCCGCUCCCGCCGCCCUCUCGUCAGGGGGAGCCCCGUCAGCGGCGGGGGGCUGUGAGGGGCGCUGCCGGGGGAGCCCCGUCAGCGGCGGCUCCUCACCGGGCAGGGAGCCGGCAGCCCGGGGGAGCCUGCCGGGGGUCGCCGCUCAGUCCCCCGGUGUCCGUGCCCCGGCAGCCCCUGGCGGCGGUGGGCGCGGGGCCGGUGGCGGUGAGCGGGGCAGGGCGCGGAGUUGCCUCACGGAGCCGUUCCCGAGCCGUAGUUGGGCAAAGUUACCCCGGGGCGCGGGGCAGCCUCUGCCCCGGUCGGGUCUGCACCCAAACGUGGCUUUGUACCGCACCCUCGCAGCACCCGGCUUUUUAUUUUGUAUAUUUUUCCCUCAGCGUGUUUGCGCUCUGUAGGUUUUAUUGGAGUUAUUUAAGAAAAACUCCGCGUUCAGCGGGUGCGCGGGGGCUGAGGCAGCGGGACCUCGCCACGCAGGGCAGGGGGAGCGGCAGGACGGGGCUCAGCACCCCCGGCCCCGUGUCUCAGGGCUCCCACCAGCACGGAGCUGCUCCAGGCUCUGUGUUCGGACACCUCAGCAGCAAGAGCAGGCGGCUGCCUCCUGCCCUGCCACCUCACCGUGCUGAGGGACCCCCCUGGGCAGCAGGAGCACGGCGAAUUUGGGAAGGACGCGGUGCCCACCGAGCCUUGGUCAUGCCGGACCUGAGGCGGGAGGUAAGGCUGCAGAGGGAGCCUGACAGCGAGUCGAGUCCCCGCUGUGCAAACGCUGCUGCUGGGGAGGAGAUGGAGGGAUAG
rnacentral:lncRNA from 1 species